rnacentral:rRNA from 1 species
UAGAGUUUGAUCCAUGGCUCAGAUUGAACGCUGGCGGCAGGCCUAACACAUGCAAGUCGAGCGGUAGAGAGAAGCUUGCUUCUCUUGAGAGCGGCGGACGGGUGAGUAAUGCCUAGGAAUCUGCCUGGUAGUGGGGGAUAACGUUCGGAAACGGACGCUAAUACCGCAUACGUCCUACGGGAGAAAGCAGGGGACCUUCGGGCCUUGCGCUAUCAGAUGAGCCUAGGUCGGAUUAGCUAGUUGGUGAGGUAAUGGCUCACCAAGGCGACGAUCCGUAACUGGUCUGAGAGGAUGAUCAGUCACACUGGAACUGAGACACGGUCCAGACUCCUACGGGAGGCAGCAGUGGGGAAUAUUGGACAAUGGGCGCAAGCCUGAUCCAGCAAUGCCGCGUGGGUGAAGAAGGCCUGCGGGUUGUAAAGCCCUUUCGGUGGGGAGGAACGGUCUGGUGCUAAUACCGUCAGCCUUCCGUACCACC